AGUGAACGCUGGCGGUAGGCCUAACACAUGCAAGUCGAACGGCAGAACAGGAGCUCUUGCUCUCUGGGUGGCGAGUGGCGGGCGGGUGAGGCAUACAUAGGAAUCUGCCCAGUCGUGGGGGAUAAUUUAGGGAGACUUAUGCUACUACCGCAUACUACCUUCGGGUGAAAGUGGGGGUUAGCAGGACAUUUGCCGCUUGGAUAGGCCGAGUUCGGAUUAGUUAGUUGGCGGGGUAAUGGCCCACCAAGGAAACGAUCCGUAGCUGGUCUGCGAGGGUGAUCGGCCACACUGGAACGGAGACACGGUCCAGAUUCCUACGGGAGGCAGCAGUGGGGAAUAUUGGACAAAGGGCGCAAGCCUGAUCCAGCCAGACCGCGUGGUUGAAGAAGGCCUUCGGGUUGUAAAGCCCUUUUGUUGGGAAAGAAAUCUUUCAGGCUAAUACCCUGGGAGGAUGACGGUACCCAAAGAAUAAGCACCGGCUAACUUCGUG
rnacentral:rRNA from 1 species